UGUGAUUGCGCCUGAAUGAAAAGGACACAAAAAGAGAUGAAGAGGCAGGCCUAGGUAGUGUGGGAUAAUAUGGGUUGGUUAAUAUAGGAAUGAAGUUUAUGUCCGUAUUAGCGGAUUAGUGUCAUCAUGAUACCCUUAGUUCACUCAGUUAGUACCUAUCACUGCAUUCUGACUUGAACUUAGAAUUUUUACCUGAAGCACUCGUUUACACCAGUUUUU
rnacentral:lncRNA from 1 species